GUAAGCAUUCUUGACUGCAGAGCCAUCUC
rnacentral:piRNA from 1 species